UACGUAGGCAGCAAGCGUUGUUCGGAGUUACUGGGCGUAAAGAGUGCGUAGGCGGUGCUCUAAGUUUGGUGUGAAAUCUCCCGGCUUAACUGGGAGGGUGCGCCGAAAACUGGAGUGCUUGAGUAUGGGAGAGGCAAGCGGAAUUCCUGGUGUAGCGGUGAAAUGCGUAGAUAUCAGGAGGAACACCGGUGGCGAAGGCGGAUCUCUGGGCCAUUACUGACGCUGAGGAGCGAAAGCGUGGGGAGCGAACAGG
rnacentral:rRNA from 1 species